ensembl:misc_RNA
UGGACACGGCGCCUUGCCCCCAGAUCUGCAUCGGAAUGCAGAAAAGAUCUUUAAAAAAAAAAAAAAAAAGUUUUGAAUUCCUCAAUGAUUUUUCUUCUGGAAAGGCAGCUUAGGAUAAUUAUUUCAGCUUUAUUGAGGGCAGAUUAGUUGAAGUCUGGGCGCUGCGUUUCAAUACGCGUUGUACACGGGCCGACAAUGUGG